rnacentral:rRNA from 1 species
AUGGAAUUGAGUUUGUCUCAUACUCUCCAUCUUUUUAAUAUCUUUCGUGAGUAUGAUGGAAAAGCAAAUUGUGCUCAAGUGCUAGAAGAAGAAUGCAUUAAAAUGCUUGGUACUGAAUCUUUGAAUGAUGAGCAUGAUUGCAAUGUUGUUAGUAUGAAUUCCUUGAAUAUCCAUGAUGCUAAUGAUAUGCAAAGCCACAAGCUUGGGGAAGCUAUGUUUGAUAAAGAUGAUAUUUUUUGUCCCCCAAGUUUUGAUGAGCAAAUUUAUUAUGAUGAAAGCAUGCCUCCUAUUUAUGAUGAUUAUAUUUAUGAAAGUGGGUUUGGAAGAGUGUCAACUUUAGGAAGUAGUGAUCCCACUAUUUUGGAGGAUGUUGAAUCUUAUUGUGAUGAACAUGAAAGUGGAUUUGGAAGAGUGUCAACUUUAUUUAGUGAUGAUUCCACUAUUUCAGAAGAGGUUCCAAUUGAUUAUGAGAACAAAGUUGCUAUCUAUGAUGAUUAUUUUGAUGACUUGUAUCCUCUUACGAAUAAUGAUAACCAUGACACUUGA